ACUUUUUAAAGCAUUUUUUUCUUUUGUUAGCAGCUUGAUUCAAACAUCCUAUAAAGAGUAGGAAGAAAAACUCUUGUUAAAAGUUCAACACAGUCUUCAUUUAAGGGUUGAGAGUGCUCCAGAUCUACAUGUCUGGAUCUUCCAAGGACUUGUCUUGAGGAGAACUUUCUAUUCUGUGAAUUGUGAUAUAUCUGUCAGCAGCAACUUUGAACUUCCUAGGAAACCUUCCUAGGGAGGCAGCAGAGCUUAAUGGACCACACAUAAACCAGGGAAACAGGCACUGCUGUGCUCUAAUCCCAGUUGACUCACUCUGUGACUGCAGGUCUCCUAACUACCUGUCUAUCAGAGGUGUUCUGAGGAUUAAUCAGUUAACAUUGCACAGCACUUUGAGGAUGCCAAGUGCUAUUUGCACCUGAGAGUCCCAGCCAGGGAUCAGGCCUACAUUGUGCUAGAUGCUGUACAAACCCAGAACAAAACUACAGCACCUGCUGCCCCUGAGAUUACACCUCAACCUCACAUAUUGCAGGACUGGGAGGAAGUUGUGUACUGUGGGCUGAACAUUGGAAGUGUAGGGUUGAGAGCAACCUUGUAAGUGAAACCAUUUCAGAGUCACAAUGUACCAGUAGUGUCGGCUUGAUGCUCCUGAUAACGGUGAUAGUGGGUGAUGACCAAGUAAUUAGAAACAGCAGGAUGGAACAGCCACUCUUUGCAAGGCAGUUGUGUUACAUUUGUGAUGUUUGUUCAGUUCACUUUUCAUAGGAAGUAGACCAAUUAUGCUGAAUAGUAUUACACAGGCUGUGUCUGUGCUAGUCUUUUUCUAAGUUUCCAACUGGUGCAGCUCCCCGUGUGCUAGUGUUCAUAUAGACAGCUGCCGGAGGUGCUGGCACUUGAGCUACUGUGUUAUCUAACCCUGCUCAGAGCAGAACUAGGCAACACAGUUGGUAAAACACCAACAGUCUGUCUACAUAAAUACUUCCAUUAGUGGUAACACUCGUGGACAAUUUUAAGAAUAAAGUCUAUUAUAGAGAAGGCCUCCAUGUGAUGUGUAUGGCUGCCAUUAGCUGCAUACAUCAGGAAAUGAUUAACUACUAUAAACAGAGUAGUUUUCACCACAGGACUCAAACUCAAAUAUGCUCCAUUCACUCUGAUGCUCAUGGCAAAAGGUGGCUAUGGUAACCCUAUGCUCACUUGCAUGUCAUUAGGAAUUCAGGCAGGAAAGAGGUAGGAAAUGGCAUCUUUUACUUUGGCUUUUGAGGAUCGAAAUCUCCUUCUUCUACAGAUUUAAAUGAAAAAACAUCACAAGCAGUGCUCAGGCUCAACUAAUCUAUUACAUAUUAUAAGAAGUCCUCUAACCUUCUCUGUGCUCAUCUCUAAAAUGGGGAUAAUAAUACUUAAACCUUUGCAGUGUGUUUUGUGAUUCAUUAAUCAAAUGCUUUAUAUAAAUGCAAAAUAUUAUUUUGAUUUAUACUAGAGUUUCUGAGCCAGAUUCUGCUCUCAUCAACACUGGUGCAAAUUAUAACUAAUCCCACUGUAGUCAGUAGAGUUACAUCAGUGUAAAAUGGGUGUAAGGGAGAGCAGAAUCAGGCACUCUAUCUCUAGUGUUCCAGCAAUAUUCAAGAGCUCUAUAAUACCAGCAGCCCAGCCUUAGAAAGAAUAGGUGAAAUCCUGGCUCCAUUGAAGUCAAUGGAAGUUUUGCCAUCAAUUACAAUGGAAUUGGUAUUUUAUCCCAUGUGUUCAGGUUUUGAAACCCUUCUUUCUUCCCUUUAGAACAAAGCUAACAUAUUGAGAAUGAAUGGAAUCUUCUUUUCCUAUCCUUCCAUCCCUCUCUAAAUUAGAUAAGGCCAAGAUGAAUGGUUCUAAGCUGCAUGUUAAUUACCAGUCUAGGCAUAUAUUUCCAAAUGUAAGCAAUUUUAGGAAUAAACUGAUAAGGGAAUCUACUAGGCCAUGAUCCACAAAGGUACUUAGGUUCCUAAGUUAUAAGGUUGACACUUCCAUCUCCUUCAGACAUUUUGUAUGGAGUGAGCCAAGCCCUUACUCAUUCUCACAAGAAAUGUCUUAGGCACCUAAGCUACCUGACCUGCCUCCAGGAGAGGGGUUCCUGGUUGUGGAUCACUAGCAAAGGUAGGCACCUCCUUGCAGUCCUGGCCUUAGGUGCCUAUCUCUGUGAGAGGGUGGGGCUUAGGAUGCACCUCUGUUGCCAACAUCUCCCUUGGCUCGCUUUGGUGGCUCCCCACCUAGGGUAGGUCUACACUUACCUGGCAGUUCGGCGGCAAGCAAAUUGAACUUCUGGGUUCGACUUAUCGCGUCUUGUCUGGACGAGAUAAGUCGAACCCAGAAGUGCUCGCCGUCGACUGCGGUACUCCAGCUCGGCGAGAGGAGUACGCGAAGUCGACGGGGGAGCCUGCCUGCCGCGUCUGGACCGAGGUAAGUUCGAACUAAGGUACUUCAAACUUCAGCUACGUUAUUCAUGUAGCUGAAGUUGCGUACCUUAGUUCGAAUUGGGGGGUUAGUGUAGACCUGCCCCUAGUGUACUGGCUUUUGUGGAUAGAACUUAAAAUGCUUGUCUCUCCCCAUGAAUUGCAUAGGGAGCGUAGGCACCUAACUCGGGUUUUGUGGAUCACAGUAUUGUUCCUGUGAUUUUCUAGACCUAAAUGUUAAGUGCUGUGACACUGAGCAUUGCAACACCUAAUUCUCUUUGUAGAUCUGGGCCCUAGUAACUAGCUUGCUCAAAAUCUGAGCCUCUUUUAGGGCCACAUUUUCCAAUCCAGCCUUACCUUCUACACUUGUGAUUUUGCAGAUAUAAAUUAUGUCAUUUAGAAACCUCACUAUCUGAUGGUAUCCACAAAUCAGGCAGAUGUUUAAAUGACCUAAUUUAUACCCAUAGUAAUUUGCAGAUGCAAAAUGUAAGCGAGACUAAAGCACCUUUAUAAAUCAGGCCCUUGUUGUUAUCUGAUCAGAUUGGGCUUGAUUUUUCUCCCACGUAAAUCUAUGGAAAUUGACUUCAAAAGGGAGCAAGAUGAGGCCUGUUCUUUAGAAUGAGAGCAUGUAUCACAUAGACUGAUAAUUCUGCAGUGCAUAUGAGCACAGCUGCCUUACUCUUAUUGGAAUCUCUAAAUGGUAAAAGGCUUGCCUGAAAUCGCUUCCAGUAUUAGUUCUUGUUCUAUAUACAGUACAGCAUAUAAUUAGAGAAGCAUGUUAUACACCAAACUCACUUUGAUAAAUGGAUUUUUAAAGCAUAAUAAAGGCGGUGACUGAAGUCCUGCCAAGCUGCAUAGGAUACUCACAUGUAUUAUACUGUAAACAUAAUAUGAUUAUACUGUAUGUUGUCAUAAUAAUUGGCAAUGGUCUAGGAGUCAGUCAUUGAGAGCUUUGUUCAUGUGAUAAUAAAUGACAAGGACUACAAUGUUAGUUGGCAGCAAACUUGUUUUACUUUUGUUUUUCUUAGUAAAUUAGUUUCAAAGAAGUUUUAUGUUUUUAAGCCCACUGUUCCAGUCCCCAGAUUGCUUUAUGUCUUUGUAACGAGAUUUGGGAAGCUCUCUUUGUAAGUGGUUUUCACUCAGUGCUGUCACAAAGGCGAUCUUGUUCAUUUUUCAAAAGGUAUGACACUCUCACGUUAGAGAUCUAUCAUACAUACUAUACUAUAGAUCAUAUAUAUCUGCCACACAGAAGGGUGGAUUAAGGCAGAGUCCUUGGGAUCCAGCAGUGAGUCCCAUGCAGAAUGGAACAUAAAAAUUGUGGAGAAAUUGCGACUCGGGUUCAGCACAUAAUUUUCUCAGAUAAACUAGCAGGGAUAGUUUAACUGGUAGUGAUAUUUGCUUUGUAGGCCUGAUUCUUAAACCUUUACUCAUGCUAAAUAUAUCGUGUACUAAUACAACCAGUCCCAAUGGCUUCCAGGUGACUACUUAUAUAAUACAGGCUAAUCAAUGUAUGUAAGCAUAGCAGAAUCAGGCCUUAAAUUUGUAAUGGCUCUAGGGGGGCAGAUCUUCCAUCUGAUACAUCAGACUCAACCAGAUAAAUAAGAACUAGGAAAAAGCUAUUUAUUGCAUUGAGGGGAUUUCAGUUAUCCCACUCAGAAACGUCUUGCUGGUGCUUUAUAGCAUUAGCUUUUCUCCUAUGAAGCCCUUCUCUUAGGAACCAAAUAAUGUACAUGCUCUAGAGAUGUCUGUGGUACUAAGGAAAAAAUCAUGACAGAUUUACAUGGCAUGGAUCACAAAACCCUUAUUGUGAGGGUAUUUGUAAGGCGCAAGAGUGACUUCCAGCUUAGUCAAGAUUAACAUAGAUCUGGCUUGACCCAAGGGAGGAGGCUGCUUGCGUUGGCUUCUUAUCUUCCAUCAGAUUCAAACUUAGACUCAACUUCAGGGUCCUGCACAGCUCCACCCCAGCCCACAUCCUAUUUAUCACCAGACUCUACCCCUCUUUACACCCUACACCUUUUGCUAGCUCAAGGCCUGAUCGUGCUCUCAUUAAAGUCAAUGACAAAAAUCCUAUUGAUUCCUGGGAUGCAGGGCAUAACCAUUGAUGUGCCUUGUUACUCCCAUGCCUUUUCUCAAGCUGCCCAUAUAGUUGGAAAAUCAUUCCUGAUCCUGUGCAUCAGGCAACCUCAGUCUCUUCUUUCAAUUCAAAUCCCUCCUCAAAAUUCACCUCUUUCAAUUAGCUUUCCAGCUCUGAUCUCUUCCCCAACUUUGUUCCCUCGUAUUGUACUAUUAGUAAUUUAUAAAAAAGGAACUAAGGAGAUGUAUACAUAAAAAAAGUAGAUCUCAACUUCUUCCUUUUGUAACCCUUGUCCUUCCCUUAACCCACACUUACACAUGUCCUUUGUUAUCUUCCUUUCCUGUGUUACGUCUAAUUUAGAUAGCAAGCAUCUUGGGGGCAGGGAUCUUUCUCUUUCACUUCUGUGUAAAGAACCAUAUACGACUAUGGUGUUAUGUUAAUAAUAAUAGGUUCACCUGGCAAAGCUGAUGCCUGUUGGUUAUUAGGGCCUCAUUUGAGUGUCAACUGCAGUACUGUGCAGGCUGCAUACGCAGACAGUCCAGCCAGCAGCCGUGGGAUUCUGCAGUAGUAGGAGUAAGCGUAGCAGAACCAGGCCAUUGGGAUGGUUCUGUAGUAAUGUCUGGCUACCAACAGAAAGACAUAACAUUAUUCUGUACUGCGCUCAUGUUCUUAUAGCAUCUUUUGUCCAGAAUCCCAGUGUGCUCAACAAUCUUUUCCAAAGUGUUUCCGAAUUUGCUCCAACCCCUCAGACAGAGACAAACACCUAUAAGAUCCUUAUCAAGCAUUCGUAAAACUACAAUACCCACCUGGGGAAGUGAGGAAACAGAUUGACAGAGCAAGUCGGGUACCCAGAAAUCACCUACUACAGGACAGGCCCAACAAGGACAAUAACAGAACACCACUGGCCAUCACAUACAGCCCCCAGCUAAAACCUCUCCAGCACAUUAUCCACAAUCUACAACCUAUCCUGGAAAAAGAUCCCUCACUCUCACAGAUCUUGGGAGGCAGGCCAGUCCUCGCUUACAGACAACCCCCCAACCUGAAGCAAAUACUCACCAGCAACUACACACCACACCACAGAAACACCAACUCAGGAACCAAUCCCUGUAGCAAACCUCGUUGCCUACUCUGUCCCCAUAUCUACUCUGGCGACACCAUCAGAGGACCCAACCACAUCAGCCACACCAUCAAGGGCUCAUUCGCCUAAUGUUAUAUAUGCCAUCAUGUGCCAGCAAUGCCCCUCUGCCAUGUACAUUGGCCAAACCGGACAGUCCCUCUGCAAAAGAAUAAAUGGACACAAAUCGGACAUCAGGAAUGGUAACAUACAUAAGCCAGUAAGUGAACACUUCAAUCUCCCUGGUCAUUCUAUUACAGAUUUAAAAGUCACUAUCAUUGAACAAAAAAACUUCAGAAUCAGACUUCAAAGAGAAACAGCAGAACUAAAAUUCAUUUGCAAAUUUAACACCAUUAAUCUGGGCUUGAAUAGGGACUGGGAGUGGCUGGCUCAUUACAGAAGCAGCUUUUCCUCUCCUGGAAUUGACACCUCCUCAUUUAUUAUUGGGAGUGGACUACAUCCACCCUGAUUGAAUUGGCCCUGUCAACACUGGUUCUCCACUUGCGAAGUAGCUCCCUUCUCUCCAUGUGCCAGUAUAUAAUGCCUGCAUCUGUAACUUUCACUCUAUGCAUCUGCAGAAGUGAGGUUUUUACCCAUGAAAGCUUAUGCCCAAAUAAAUCUGUUAGUCUUUAAGGUG